ACUUCUUUAUCUGAUCCAAAAGGGUUUGUUCUUGAUGAAUUGCUGAAGUUGUUGCCGUUAAAAUCUCGGGUUUUUGUUGUACUUCAAGCAUCGUUACCUAUGGUGAACCAUUUGUUUAGAGAAGCUAAGAAAAUUGGAUUAUUGGAGAAAGAAUCAUCUUGGAUAAUCAAUGAGGAGAUUACAAGCAUGUUGGAGAAUGUAGAUAAAUCUGUUUUAUCUUCUAUGAAAGGUGUUUUGGGAAUCAAAACCAACUAUUCUACAAGCUCUAGUGCUUAUACUCAUUUGCAGGAAAAAUUUCAAGCUGAGAAUACAGAAAAAGUUGAGUUCAAACCAGGAUCAAAUGUUUUGCUAGCUUAUGAUAGCAUCACAAUUGUCACAAAGGCUUUGGAGAAAAUGAAUACUAAUUCUAGUAGCUCAAAGACGUUAUUGCAGGAGAUGUUAUCCUCCGAUUUCAAUGGCUUAAUUGGUGAUAUAAGAUUCAAAGAAAGACAACUAUCCUACACUCCAAUAUUAAGAGUCAUCAAAGUGGUUGAUAAUGAUAAGAAAGAUACUGAAUUGGACUUUUGGACACCAAAGUUGAAGUUUGCUAGAUCUCUUAGAGAGAAAACAAAUGAUGGUACUAAAGAAGAAAGAUCAAAUGACUGUCUACCUAAGAAAUGGAAAAUACCGAAUGAUACAAACCCUUUACAAGUUGCAAUUCCUAUGAAUCCCGCAUUUGAUAACUUUGUGAAAGUCUCUCAAAAUCAAACUCCUACCGGUUUUUGUAUUGAACUUUUUAAAGAGAUUCGAAAAAUUCUGAGUGAGCAGUAUUCUGGUCUUCCCUAUAAUUUUAUCCCUUUCUCCGAAUCUUUUGAUGAUAUUUUGCUUAAAGUAAAAGAUGAGGUAAACUCAACAUUAUAUUUUUGUCAAUUUGUAUUUUUUAAUUUUUGUUUCACAAUUUCAUUUGUCUCUUUCAAUAUAUACAUUUCACACAUAAAUGGCAUAACAUUACAUAGCAUGUAGAUCAAAUAUCAUGUUUUCUCAAAACCAAUGCAUGUUGGGACUGACGGUGAGUUUGACAAAAAUCUAGGCAUGCGACAUGAUUUUGGCCUAAACUACAUUUUUAAGUUUAAACAAAAAUAAGUGUCACCGCGAUUCCAAACAUGCACUAGAACAAAUGAAAAUGUUUCAUUUUUUUCCAAACAAAAAUGGAAGAAGGAAGCUAAUACUAUUGCAGACCUAUGAUGCUAUUGUAGGAGAUGUAACAAUACUUGCCAAACGAGCAAGAGAGGUAUCAUUCACUCAACCAUAUACUGAAUCAGGCUUAUCACUCAUACUUCCAGCAGAAACUGAAGAUUCAGCAUGGUUGUUUAUGAAACCAUUUAGCUCGGUAAUGUGGAUUGCAACUACUGGUAUCCUAAUCUACACAAUGAUUGCCGUUUGGUUCUUAGAACACCACUUGAAUCCUGAAUUUGGUGGACCAUUGAAAACACAAAUCAGCACGACUCUAUGGUUUGCGUUUUCUUCUCUAUUUUUUGCACAGAGUAAGUAUAGAUUACAAAAGUUCAAAAUUUUCUGAUUUACUGUAACGCUUUAGAAUUUGGGUUGAGUCUAGUUCACCUCUUCCAAAAUCUGUAUGUAAAGUGAGGACUGUCUCCUCUUAUAAACUUAAGUUCAUGUCUUACCUCAUUCAAUGUGAGGCUGUUAACACCCUCAUCUAGCUUAGAGCUAAACAUCUAGAGCAUGACUCAAUAAUGGUGAUUUGAUAGCAGGUGACACAACUAAUUCAAUACAAAACUAGUAAGGUGAAUACUCCCAAUAAUAAACUUAUGUUCAGACCUUAUCUAUCUAUUUAGUUUGAGAUUCUUAACAAGAGACUCUUAACAAUAUUUACCAUUUUCCACUUAUUCUAUAAAUAUGAAAAAGCAUUUCAACUCUUUAGUGAUUAGAAGUCAAUAACUUUUGUUAUGGAACUUCUGAGCUGCAAUACUUACAAAGUUUAAUUCUUAGAAAAGCUUGAGAUGUUAAAUUUAAUAAAUAUUGCUUCUUCAUUUGGAAAAUCCUACUUUUGCAAACUAAUUAAUAGUAACAAGUUAAUUGUUUCUGAUGCAUACCAGAGGAGAAAAUAAACAGCAACUCAGCAAGAGUAGUAGUUGGAGUAUGGUUAUUUCUUGUGUUUGUUCUGACCUCAAGCUACACUGCAAAUCUUUCAUCAUUGCUUACUGUCCAAAAAUUGAGGUCUGACAGAGACAUUGAAUGGCUUAAACAAAACAAUCUAUCAGUUGGUUGUGAUAACACUAGUACCUUUGUAAAGGACUACUUGAUCCAAGUGUAUAAAUUCUCUACGCAUCAAGUUGUAGAAGUUGGGGAUGAACAAGACACUUUGGAUAAAUUCAAGAACAAAAAAAUUUCUGCUCUAUUUGCUGAGAGCCCAUACGAGAAGGUUUUCUUGAAUAAAUACUGCAAAGAAUACACUUCAACUACAGCAGCCUAUAAAUUUGGAGGAUUGGGAUUUGUCAGUGCCUAAAACUUCUUAUUUUGGACAAUUUACUUUUACAAAAAGUUAAUAGUUGUCUUUUCAAAGUACAUUAGUAUCUAUUUUAGUUUUGCAUACUCAUGUUUGGUUUCAUGCUCUAUGAUUUUGCAGGUUUUUCAAAAAGACGAUCCAAUGGCAAAAGACUUUUCUGAAGCAAUUUUAACACUGGCAGAAAAUGGAAAAUUAAAAGAUUUGGAAAAUAUAUGGUUAACACCUUCCAAUAAAUGCUCAAACAACUCACCAUCUCCAGAAGAAACUGAGAGUCUGACUCUUGACAAAUUUUGGGGACUCUAUGUCAUAUGUGCUGCCACAUCCACCAUCUGCUUACUACUAGCUUUGUUGAAGAAGCGUUUACGUAACCAUAACCACUAUGAAGAAGCUGAUCAACUUCCUCAAGGAAGUGUAAUCUCCGAAUCUGAUGAUGAUAAUAAUAAUAAUUCUCAGAGAGCAAUUAGAGUUGGUACAGGUUUAAACAUUGAGAAUCUCAUUAAAUUAAAUAAAUCUGCAACUUUUGGUGGACGUGUAAAAGAAGGUGUACGUCGUAGAAAUUCACCAAAAUUGGAGAGUAUAAGCAUUUCUGAUGAACAGGGCGAUCUUCCUCACUCCCAAUCAGCUGCCAUGCCAUAGAAAUGAUAUAAUUCAUAUUAUGUAAUAGCUAACCAUAUACAUUCCAACUUUUAUGUGUUUAAUUUUAACAAUUGUAGUAGUAGCAAUUAUGAAAACCCUAUAGUAAUUUUAACACAAAUAUAUGUAUUUUAAAGUUAGUAUCUAAUGUGAUUCGUUUCAUCAGUCUCCUCCUGAAAAACAUGCAAUAUCAUCAGUUCUUCACCUCACUAUAUAUGAUUCAGUAUGGGAAAAAAGUUCUUCCUACAAUAAGCGCAAUGCUGCACUUGCAAAAUUCAACUAUUACAAUGUAUGGUCAAGAGACAUUUUAAAUUUCUUGCACAAGGGAUUAUAUAUCACUCUACAUUUGUCUUCAUUCUCAGCCAUCUAUUUUGAGGUAUACAUCUUUAUUUUUAUGUAAUUAAAGUAUGACAUUUCACAAAGGUACUAAAAAAUGAUAAAUAUAAGGCUGAUAAUUGCAGGACAAUCAUUUUCACAUAUUUUAACAUUGAGUAUGCAUGUUGAAUUAUAUGACCAGUUCCUCCGGGGGAAUGUAUAUACUUACAAAUUUUCAGACUCAAAUUUCCUAUUCAGAUUCUAAAGUCAUUUAUUAUGAUCUAUUGUCCUAAAUUUUGUGGCCACAUAUCAAAGCCUAAAUGUCAUUAGUUUGAGGUCCACUUCUCAUAGCUGGCCAAUCCAACAAGAAUCUGUGUUUCCAAGAAGCAUCCAUUUUUGAUGAUCUUUCAACUUAUCUCUAGAAAUGACAUAAAAUUAACACUAAAUGAAAUUAAGAUUACCAUUUUGACUGGAUCAACUUAUCUCUAGUUGAUUUAAAGACGUUAUUUUCUGAUUUUUUAUUUUAUAAUUCAAUAAAUUAAACUUGAAUCUAGACCAUCUGAUUUUGAACAGACUACCAUCAUUUUGAAUGUGUGGAUGCAGGAAAUCCCGACAGCAAGGAAUCCUAAAUUUCAAAUCUUUUAGAAGACUUACAUCCUAAAUUUAGAAAAUAUAAUCUUUUGUCCUAUCAUACACUUGUGUGUCGGUAUGAGACAAUAAGCACGCGUUCUUACAUGUGGCACGAGAGUGUUUGUCAUUUUUGAAGUAUGAAUUCAUAUUUCUAUCAACUACUUAGUAUUCUUAAUUUUAUUUUGAAUGCGGAUCAAACUCUCCACCUCUCUAUCGCUCCACUUUUUGUCUCCUAAAUUCCAACUAUCAAACCACCCUUACUCUUACUUGGAUUUAACAUUAGUUUUUCCCUAAUAGGUUUUCCAAUAAGCAGAUAAAACUUAGGUGUAAUGCUGCACAUAUUUUGGUCUUAUUGUUCCUCAUACAAAAGUACAGCUUUUAUUUAAUUAAGGAGACUUUUAGAACAAUAAUCCGGCUUAACAGAGUAAAGAAACAAUAGACGCAAACAAUGAGCACGCUGUAUGCUAACAAAGUUUGGCUAAUAUUAAUUACACCCUGAACUACAUUUUCUUUUUAUUACCUCUAAACUGUACCGCAGAUGACUUCCAACCCCACAAAAAAUGAUUGGACCAAGCCUAAGGACAUGUUUCUCUUGCUUUCCUCAAUAGACCCUUUCCGCUUAUCAACAACUAUGAAUCAUAUUCAACAUUGACAAUUUCUAUCGCAUCUAACAUAAUUUGUGACAGUUCUACUCUAUUUUUAGUGAAUAAUAUUAAGAGCAGUGUCUAAACUCUAGAGCACUGUUUCUAAGUUUUCACCAUCUCUAAAUCCAAGAUUUAUCCCAUCUAACAAAUCGUUGAUCCUUACAAUUACUUUUCCCUCCCUUAUGAGGUGUUAUGACUAGCCUUCCUUCUAAUAACUCAGCAACUUGCAAGCCUUGCUUAUUCUCUUCUUAUACCCAACUUUGUCUCCAAGUAUGGAGUCAACAUCAUAAUUGACAAAGUCAAACAUUAAAUUUCCAUGAAACAACCAAAGUAACUCCAAAAAUCCUCGGCAUUGAGUAAUAUUAAUUCCUCUAGGUAAUCAUGUAAUAUAUAGGCAGCUAGUCCCUGCACAGUUUCCAACAAAGGCUAGUAGAUUAUGUGAGCAAAAGAUAUUGCAGCAAAAUGCAUUGCCUUUCAACUAUUCCUCAAGCACUAGCAAGAGUUUGGCUAUUCUUUUUCUUACUCACUCCUUCUGUUCUCAUUUUUGGUUUCCGAGAUGAGACAAACAAAGUUAUAUCCAUUGGGGUGACCAUUGAUGUUAAUUCUCGUAUUGGGAAAGAACAAGAAGUAGCCAUGGAAAUUGCAGCCCAGAAAUACAACAUCGCUUCAAAGGAAUACAACCUGGCUCUCUAUUUUCAGAACUCUGCCAAGGAUACCCUCAGGGCCAUCACACUUGGUUAGUACAUCUAGUAUUUUUUGAGAAAAAAAACAUUAAACUUUCUUACAUGUGUAUAAUGAAGCAUGUGAGAUCUUUAAUUGCAGCUGAAGAGAUGAUUAAGGUGCAAAAGGUGCAAGUGAUUAUAGGGAUGCACACAUGGCCAGAAGCAGGUAUAGUAGCUGAAAUAGGAAGCAAAGCUCAAGUUCCUAUCAUAUCCUUUGCAGCACCUACCAUAAUGCCACCAUUGAUGAAAACUCGAUGGCCUUUUCUGGUGGGACAAGCAAACAAAGGUACAUCAUAUAUAAAAUGCAUUGCAGACAUAGUGCAGGCAUAUAGCUGGAAAAGAGUAGUAGUAAUCUACGAAGAUGACGGGUACGGGGGAGAUUAUGGGAUGCUAGCUCUGCUAGCUGAGGCCCUUCAGGAUGUGGAUUCAAUGAUUGAACACCGCUUAGUCCUUCCCCCAAUCUCUUCUAUACAUGAUCCAGGAGAGUUAGUUAGUGAAGAGAUGAUUAAGUUAAAACAAGCACAAUCUCGGGUGUUCAUAGUGCUGCAAUCAUCGUUAGAAAUGACAAUCCAUUUGUUCAAAGAAGCUUCAAAAGUUGGACUGGUGGGUAAAGAAUCAGUUUGGAUAAUCCCAGAGAGCGUAACAAAUUUGAUGGACUCUGUCGAUAAAUCUGCUAUUUCCUAUAUGGAAGGAGCUUUAGGAAUUAAAGCCUACUACUCAGAGAGAAGCAAGGAUUAUCAAGACUUUGAGGCUCAGUUCAGGAGAACUUUUUGGUUAAAGAAUCCAGAGGAAGAUAACCGAUACCCAGGAUUUUAUGCUCUACAAGCAUAUGAUAGCAUUAAUAUUGUAACUCAAGCAAUCGACAGAAUGACCAGUAGAAACAAUAGCAGCCCAAAGAGUUUGCUAAGAGAAAUACAGUCUAGCAAUUUCGUUGGUUUGAGUGGCCAUAUUCAACUUGAAGAUGAACAACUCAUGCAGAAGAAUCUUGUAUUAAGAAUUGUAAAUGUGGCUGGGAAGAGUUACAAGGAAUUAUGCUUUUGGACUCAACAACAUGGCUUCACAACAGUCCUCCAUACCGGACAAGGUGGAAACAAGGUUGCUGGAAAUACAGAAUGUUUCAGGGGUGUACGCUGGCCUGGGAAUUUGGACCGCGAUCCAAAGGGGUGGAACAUGCCUACCAAACAAUAUCCAUUGAAAAUUGCAGUCAGAAGCAGAACCUCGUUUUACAAGUUUGUCAAGGUUGAGUAUGGCCAUAAUGGAAAGGAUGAUAAAUAUAGUGGAUUUUGCAUUGACAUUUUCGAGCAAGUACAGAAACUUCUGGGGUACGAUCUUCCAUAUAAAUAUCAUGCCAUCAAUGGAACCUAUAACGAUUUGGUUCAGCUUGUCUAUAACAAGGUAUUAAAUCUAUUUUUCUUUGAAAUCAAAUGUUUAAUUUUGGUUUCUAUGAUUAUCAUUGUCCUCCCUAUCAAAUAUGACAAAGAUACUUAUAGUUAGCGAUUAGGAAUAACUAAUAAUAUGUACUAAAUGCAACUUAAUUACUUUGAAAUUUGAGAAACAAUAUUUUUUUAUUUAUUGAUUACGAUUUUUUGUUUAUGUGUGGUUAAACAAUAAUGGAAGACUUUUGAUGCUGUUAUUGGAGACAUGACCAUAAUAGAGGAAAGAUUGAAGUAUGUGGAUUUUACAGUGCCAUAUGCAGAAUCAGGAUUGUCAAUGAUAGUUCCAAUGAAGUCUGGAGAAUCAGCAUGGAUGUUUAUGAAGCCAUUUACCUGGGAAUUGUGGCUGGUUACAGAUGCAAUCUUGAUUUACACAAUGUUAGUUGUUUGGUAUCUUGAGAGAGAACCCAACCCAGAGUUCCAUGGAAACUGGAAGCUCCAGCUCAGCACAGCCUUUUGGUUUACUUUUUCCUCUCUGUUCUUUGCUCAUAGUGAGUAUCAAUCUCAAACUUCCUUGUCAUUUUGAUGCAAAAUAACAAUAUGAAAAAACAUAUAAUC
rnacentral:lncRNA from 1 species